UGAUUUUGUAUCAUUUUAUUUUUAUUUUUGCUAACUUAGAUUAUUUAGUUAAACAGUUGGCUAUCGUAAGCCGAAGUAUUACGGAAAAUCAGCUGGAAUUCGAUAUUCCAGGACAGAGUCAGACGAAACAACUACUACGCCGCCAUUUGCAUUCCAUCAGCAUCCCGGACGAGACGUGAGCAUCGUGAAGCGAUCAGUAGUUACCAUGCCAUUUCGAUGCGCACGUGCCAUUAACCUUCUAACAUUCGCAAUAACUUUUUCCUGGCUUUGGUGUUGCGUCUUCAGAAGCUGUUUGAACCUGAGGAAUUUGAUAAUAACUGGGGAUAUUUAUACGUAUGGAGUUCAACCACCAGGACGGUGCGUGCAGUUUUCCCGCCAUUUUCAGUGUCCUGUGAUUUUUUUUUUUAUUUGACUUUAUUUAUUCGUCCGUUGUCUUCGUCAUGGCAUGUUGAGAAGCUUAUAAUAGAUUACAGAAAUGGGCCAACAAGACAAAAUGGAAUCUACAAGAGAAAAUGGACCGACAUUUCACAGGGAAUGCCCCAGUACUUGGUUACAGUUCGGGAAUAUGCAGCCAGGAUGAGAUAUAUGCUCUAUAAACUGCCUGAAGGGGACGGAGGCUUUCAACCAUUCUCUUUGCAUCCGAUUAGAGCGAAGGCAUGAAUUUGUCAGGAAGCAGCCAUGACUCAGGCCAGUGACGUUAGCCAAAUCUAAUGGAGCUCCUCAUCAAGUCGAAACACCGUGGCGCGUGGACUAAGCACAGCGAAGCCGGGCAGGAUGUCAG